rnacentral:SRP_RNA from 1 species
CCGUGCUAGGCGGGGAGUUAGCGGUUCCCAUGACCCGAAAUCCGCUCAUGCGGGGCCGAAGGCCCUAUAAGGUUCACUACAGGAUGCUGUUUGCUGGUUCAGGAAGUGGCAGUAGCCCCAUGCGACAGAUCUCUUAUGAACCCCGUCAGGUCCGGAAGGAAGCAGCGGUAAGUAAGCAGGUCUGUGUCAUGGAAGGAGCUGCCGUCUAUCCUGAAUCAGGGAUGGUUUCCUGGAUGUGGAUCGAGUAGGGAUGCACGG